rnacentral:misc_RNA from 1 species
UCUCCGUAGGUGAACCUGCGGAGGGAUCAUUAUCGAGUGAGGGCCUCUGGCCCGACCUCCAACCCUUUGUUAUCUAAACCACUGUUGCCUCGGGGGCGACCCGGGCCCAGCCCGAUAGCCCCCGGUGGACCACAUCAAAACACUGCAUCUUUGCGUCGGAUUUAUAAGUUUAAUUGAUUAAAACUUUCAACAACGGAUCUCUUGGUUCUGGCAUCGAUGAAGAACGCAGC